GGGUCGAUGAUGAAAGCCUUAUAUUGUCCUAAAGAGAGGUGAUGACUUAAAAAUCAUGCUCAAUAGGAUUACGCUGAGGCCC
rnacentral:snoRNA from 1 species